rnacentral:rRNA from 1 species
GUCUGACGGAGCAACGCCGCGUGAGUGAUGAAGGUUUUCGGAUCGUAAAACUCUGUUGUUAGGGAAGAACAAGUACCGUUCGAAUAGGGCGGUACCUUGACGGUACCUAACCAGAAAGCCACGGCUAACUACGUGCCAGCAGCCGCGGUAAUACGUAGGUGGCAAGCGUUGUCCGGAAUUAUUGGGCGUAAAGCGCGCGCAGGCGGUUUCUUAAGUCUGAUGUGAAAGCCCCCGGCUCAACCGGGGAGGGUCAUUGGAAACUGGGGAACUUGAGUGCAGAAGAGGAGAGUGGAAUUCCACGUGUAGCGGUGAAAUGCGUAAAGAUGUGGAGGAACACCAGUGGCGAAGGCGACUCUCUGGUCUGUAACUGACGCUGAGGCGCGAAAGCGUGGGGAGCGAACAGGAUUAGAUACCCUGGUAGUCCACGCCGUAAACGAUGAGUGCUAAGUGUUAGAGGGUUUCCGCCCUUUAGUGCUGCAGCAAACGCAUUAAGCACUCCGCCUGGGGAGUACGGUCGCAAGACUGAAACUCAAGG